rnacentral:rRNA from 1 species
UUUCGCAAUGCCCGAAAGGGUGACGAAGCGACGCCGCGUGUGGGAAGAAGGCCUUCGGGUUGUAAACCACUGUCGGGAGUUAAGAAAGGUGUACGGGUAAAUAGUCCGUGCAUUUGACAAAAGCUCCGGAGGAAGCCACGGCUAACUCUGUGCCAGCAGCCGCGGUAAUACAGAGGUGGCAAGCGUUGUUCGGAAUUAUUGGGCGUAAAGAGCACGUAGGCGGCCCUGCAAGUCAGCUGUGAAAGCCUCCUGCUUAACGGGAGAAGUGCAGUUGAAACUACGGGGCUAGAGUGCGGAAGGGGAGAGUGGAACUUCUGGUGGAGCGGUGAAAUGCGUAGAUAUCAGAAGGAACGCCGGCGGCGAAAGCGACUCUCUGGUCCGAAACUGACGCUGAGUGUGCGAAAGCUAGGGGAACAAACGGGAUUAGAUACCCCGGUAGUCCUAGCCGUAAACGAUGGGCACUAAGUAGAGGGGUUUU